CAUGGAUGAUGAUUUCAAGACUUGCUGCUAUCGAAUACAGAUCGCCCCGUGAUCAAUUUGAUAGAUUAUUAACGUUUAUUAAUACCUAAAGUUGGUUUAGAAAAGUAGUUUGAAGUGAUUUGUAAAAGUUUAUAGGAAACUUUUGUAAUUUUAAAAAGUGACGUUGCGUCUUGUAAAGGGGAUUUUUCCUGGAUCAGACCGGCCUUCAGAAAAUGACAUUUUGGGUUUACAAUGACGGAUUUAAUCGGGAAAAAGACCCAAUUGUGAUGUUUAUGGGACAUAUAGGAGUGCCAACAAAGAAGCUCGUCAAAGACCGGGACUGCAGCAGAUCCUUGCCAACAGAAGCUCAAACUAAAUUCCCCAGACUGACCUGUAAAAUUGACUGCUUUGAAAUCAGGAUGAGCAUUCAAAAAGACUGAAAUCCCGAUUUUGUCAGACAGGGACUUCGCACCUAUGGAUGAUUUUGCCUUUAUUGGAGCACACUUCAUAACACCUGCCUUCAUCCACGGUCGGAAGCAGUUGCCAGGGAAAGAGGUAGAGCAGUCAAGAGUGAAAUCAGUGGAUUCCCAUAGAGAGGGUGAUAGCCACAUAACCUGCCCCUGGUUAAGAACCUGAAGGAUGAGAGUGAAGACAAAGAAGAGGCAACACUCGUCAAAAUCAACAAGACUGGCAGUGUGGUUAAACUGCAAUACCACUGCCUGCCCUACUGCAGCUGACGCCUGCCCUCCUGCUGCUGCCUGCACUGCUGAUGCCUGCCACACUGCUGCUGAUUCCUGUGCUACUGUUGCCUGUACUGCUGAUGCCUACCCUGCUGAUGCCUACCCUGGUGCUGCCUGCCAUCCUGCCUGCAUUGCCAUUACCACUGGGGUAGUGAUCAGCCUCCUAAUAAAGUACACAGUUAUGAACAGAGACAAACGUGCAUGCAUGACAUUUGUGACUGACCGGCUCGAUCUUAUUUUACAUCGGAUAAAAGUAGACUCAGAGCUAGAAAAUGGUAUAUCAUCCGCUACAGUUGAGGAUCAAUGGGAAAGUAAUUCUGCUUUGAAAGUUGAUCAACUUGGAGGGGAGGGGCUACUGUCAAGCCUGCUUCUGCUCCCCCUCUCUGGCGCUUGAGGGCACCAGGCUGCCCUUCAUUAUGCACACCUGCCGCCAAGAUUACGCGCAUCAGCGCUCAUUGGACUCACCUGGACUCCUUCACCUUUUUGAUUGCCCCAUCUAUAUCUGUCUGUCCCUCCGUUGCUUCCCCGUGUCCGCAUUAAUGUCGUUAUGUUUUAUGCCCAGACGCUGUCCUGUCUUGUGCUGUUUUAUGUCCAUUGUUAAUUAAAUGUUCAC
ensembl:lncRNA